AUCCAGAUGACGAGUCCCAAAUAGGACGAAAUGCGAAUCUUUGCUAGAU
rnacentral:hammerhead_ribozyme from 1 species